AGACUCGCCCUUGGGUCCCUGUCUGACGAGCUCUAGGCAAUCUGCCCUCGUUCGGGACACAACCAUCGGUCUCACCCCUCAGUUUCUGCCAGAGAAAAAGGAAAAGUCACCGAGAGGCCUGACCCUGACGGGUGGGGGAGAUGCGCGUGCGGAGUAGCGGGAAGCGACUGAGGAGCGGGGAAUGGGCAGCAUUUGAAUGGAUGCGGGUGCCGCUGGCACCCGGGAAGACGCUGGGGGCCGGCGCUGUAGAGCCGGGCAUGGGCUGGGAUGUGUUUGGAUUCCAAUCCGGGCCUGACACCAGUUCAGUGACCUCGGGAAGUUCCCCAACCCUCCGGGCCUGUUUCCUCCCUCUGAAGUGGCGACAGUAGUAGAACCGACCUCGUAGGCUCAUCGGGAGGUCCUGAUGGGAGAACCCAUGCAACUUGCCACCAUAGAGCCAGGCCCGCGGCGGUUGGCGCCUGGUGGGUAUUAAAGACGAGUCGGGAAAGAAGAGCAGGUUGAUAGACUGGAUGCUGCUAUGGUAAUCUGCCUCAGGAAAAUGCCGGACUGUUGUUUGCAAGCUGGUUAAGUGAGCAAAUCUUGGGAAGAUUUCAAGCACACCAACAUGGCACAUGUAUACAUAUGUAACAAACCUGCACAUUGUGCACAUGUACCCUAAAACUUAAAGUGUAACAAUAAUAAAAUUUUUUUAAAAAAGUUUAUUCUUAAGUAUCUUAUUUUUGUGUAGUUAUUGUAAAUGGAAUUAUCUUCCUGAUUUCUUUUAGGAAAGGAUUCUUUUUAAACAAUAUUUUGUCAUUAAGAACACUGCCCCCCCCUCAUAAUAUAUAAUAAUUUAAUAGGGAAUAUGGAAAAUGUGAUUUGCUUUUGAACCAUGUUUGAAAAAAGGUUUGCUAAACAAAUACCUGGAGUAAAGAAGAUAAUGCCAAUCCUAAAGACAUUCUUUCUUUAAAGUUGAGAGCCCUCUCAUUCAGAAUAUCAUCAUCUAAUUUCAGGUUAUAUGUCAGGUGUAGUCCUACUGCUUUCAAAGGCCUAUGUCUGGAUCUAGGAUGAAUUUUGCCAUUCUUUAAAGAAAGACUAACUCGGUAUUCGUGAGAUGCACUCUAAGCUCCUCCCUGACCUCCCCCGUUUCUCUUCAGCUCUCUUUGCUCUGUUUUGACCUAUCACUUAUCUUACCAGCUUGCACCAGUUUAGUAUCCUAAUCAGUUACUUCUCUGGCACUCUACUGACAUGGCAUGGCGCAGUCAAAAUAGUUUGCUAGAAAACAAAAUGUUUGCAAUAAAAAUGUCUUCAACAUGACAAAUAAGUCAAAAAUUAUUGUUUCCAACUGCUGGUUUUUUGUAUGUUUAGUUAUUCUGGUGGCCAGGGAUUUGCUUUAUUGCUUCUUUGGGCCUUUGAGAAUUUUUUUGUGCACACACAGACACACACACACACACACAUAUAUAUAUGUUUCUUAAGGAAUCAUAUUGUACAUACUGUUUCUUUCCACUAACACGGAAUCUCACUCUGUCUGCCAGGCUGGAGUGCAGUGGCGAGAUCUCAGCUCACUGCAACCUCGGCCUCCCGGGUUCAAGCGAUUCUCCUGCCUCAGCCUCCCAAGUAGCUAGGCUUACAGGGGCGUGCCACCAUGCCCGACUGAUUUUUGUAUUUUUAGUAGAGACAGGGUUUCACCAUGUUGGCCAGGCUAGUCUUGAACCCCUGACCUCAGAUCCACCCGCCUCGGCCUCCCAAAUUGCUGGGAUUACAGGCGUGAGCCACCACGCCUGGCCGCUGUUUACUACUUUUUAAAUAUUUGCAGGCUGGGCGUGGCAGCUCACGCCUGUAAUCCCAGCACUUUGGAAGGCUGAGGCAGGUGGAUCACGAGGUCGGGAGUUUCAGACCAGCCUGGCCAAAGUGGUGAAACCCCGUCUCUACUAAAAAUACAAAAAUUGGUGGCGGGUGCCUGUAAUCCCAGCUACUCGGGAGGCUGAGGCAGAGAAUUGCUUGAACCCGGGAGGCAGAGGUUGUAGUGAGCUGAGAUGGCGCCACUGCAUUCCAGCCUGGGCGACAGCGAGCCUUUGUCUCAAAAAAUAUAUAUAUAUAUAUAUUUGCAAUGGCUUGAUAAUAUGAAACAUUUACGUUGCUUCUUAAUAAUUAUCUAAGAAUUAAUUUAGAUUAAAAAGCACAAAAGUUUGAAACAUACCUAAAAUAUUAUGAUAAUCUGACAGUACUGCUUUAAAACUUUAAAGGUGGCAAAACAAUCCAUAUGGAAAACAAGCAGCUGAGAAUAUUCCUUUUUGACCCAUUUAUCUUCAAAUUCAAUUUGUUUUCCUUUUUUUUUUUUUUUUUGAGAUGGAGUCUUGCUCUGUCGCCCAGGCUGGAGUGCAGUGGCGCGAUUUUGGCGCACUGCAAGCUCGGCCUCCCAGGUUCACGCCACUCUCCUGCCUCAGCCUCCUGAGUAGCUGGGACUACAGGCACCCACCACCACGUAGAGAUGGAGUUUCACCAUGUUAGCUAGGAUGGUCUCGAUCUCCUGACCUCGUGAUCCUUCCACCUUGGCCUCCCAAAGUGCUGGGAUUACAGGCGUGAGCCACUGCACCCGGCCAAAUUAAAUUUGUUUUUAACCAGAUUACCUGAGGCUCAAUCUAUGUCAUCCUAAUUCCCACUCUGGUCUGAUAUGGCUUGACUCCUGUUCCUUGUUUUUGCUAGCCCAGGGGGAUAGUUUUGACCUGUGCUCUUUGUAAUGUACAUCAUCGCUAUUUAGGAUCUUUUCUAGGAAGCAUUCUUUCUAGAGAUGGUCCUAUGUAUUUGCCAGACCUGUUUUCUUCCUUGACCCCUAGCUACUAAAAGUCCUAACCCUGAGUAGCUUCCCCACCUCCCUCUUUUCCUCCCUCCCUUCCCUCCUUUCUUCCUUCCAUCUCUAGUAAAGUAUUUUAGGCAAAUGGGAUGGGGAGUUCAAUAAUAACAAUAAUAAAUUGAUGAUAGCCAAGAUUUCUGGGAUACUUACCAUAUGCCAAGCAUUGCUCUAAGCACUUUAGAUGUAGUAACACUCAUUAAUUCCUCACAAAAAUGCUAUAAACUAGGAACUGUUACAAUCCCCAUUUUACAGACAUAUACAGAUACAGAGAGGUUAAGUAGCUUCCCCAAGGUCACAUAAUCAGUAUUGUCUCGAGUCAUCAGAAAGUAGUCAUCAUGGCCGGGCAAGUUGUCUCACGCCUGUAAUCCCAGCACUUUGGGAGGCCAAGGCAGAUGGAUCACGAGGUCAGGAGUUUGAGACCAGCCUGGCCAACAUAGUGAAACCCUGUCUCUACUAAAAAUACAAAAAUUAGCCAGAUGUGGUGGCAGGCACCUGUAGUCCCAGAUACUUGGGAGGCUGAGGCAGGAGAAUGGCUUGAACCUGGGAGGGAAGGUUUACAGUGAGCUGAGACCGCACCAUCACACUCCAGCCUUGGCAACAGAGCAAGACUCUGCCUGAAAAAAAAAAAAAAAAGAAAGUAGUCAUCAUUUAGUUUUCACCAAAAAUACACAAGUAGAAAUUGUCAUUUUUAGCUAUUAAUACCAUAGGAGACUAAUCCAUAGAAUUUAAGGCCAUCUUGACUUAGAAAAACCCUGUUUUGGGUUCCUUUUAUGUUAGUAGAGCAAAACAACCAUUAUGAAAGCAUGUGCCAUGAAAGGUGCCUUUGAAACCAGAGAUUCACCACAGAGAACUACCCCUUGCUUAUCUGAAUUUGGGGUAGUUAUCAGUCUCUAGUCAGCUAAGUUGGGGACAAAGAUGAUGGGACAUGGUUUUGUUAGCAGCUUAUCUAUUUAUUUAUUUAUUUAUUUUUUGAGAUGGAGUUUCACUCUUUCACCCAGGCUGGAGUGAAGUGGUGCAAUCUCGGCUCACUGCAACGUCCGCCCCCUCGGUGGGUUCAAGCAAUUCUCCUGUGUCAGCCUCCAAAGCAGCUGGGAUUACAGGCGCAUGCCACCACACCAGGCUGAUUUUUGUAUGUUUAGUAGAGAUGGGAUUUCACCAUGUUGGCCAGGCUAGUCUUGAACUUCUGACCUCAGGUGAUCCACCCACCUCAGCCUCCCAAAGUGCUGCAAUUACAGGUGUGAGUCACCACGCCCAGCCAACUAACAGCUUAAUUUUAAGGUCACCUAUUUCUAGGAAGUUCUGGGUGUCCUGGUCCCCAUAUUCCAUGCUAUAAGAUCAUUCAGUGUGAGAACCUGGACUUUAUAGCCCUCACCCAAAGCAGCAGCAGAUAGUUGGAAUUAUUGGACAGCUGCACAUCAAGCCUACUGUGAUUCAGCUGAGGGGUGCAUGCAGCGAAGGAGGCCUCUAACAUCACAGUGACUGGCUUUGUGUAUCCAUCUGCCUGGGGAUCCAGACCUGGGUGUUCUACCUGGACCUUCAUACUGCUGCACUGGUGAGCAAGAUGAGGCUUAAAUAAAGCAUACUAUUCAAUUUGUGGUGACCUCUGAGAACCCCAAAUCUGCCAUGAAUCCCUGCACCACACAAUACCUGUGACACCUGUGCCAAGGUGAGGUCCAGUAGCUACCAAACCUACUUCUGAGCUGCAUAUUAGAGUGAAGCCUUCCUCCCUACCCUCCCUCUGUCUUACCUUUUGCACAAAUCAUGGGUUCAGAUGUUAUACCUAUUAUUGCACUCUGAUAAGUUUUUUUUUUUUUUUUUUUUGCAG
rnacentral:lncRNA from 1 species